GACGCAGCAACGCCGCGUGAAGUGAUGAAGGCCUUCGGGUCGUAAAGCUCUGUCAGAGGGGAAGAACCACCUGGAGGGUAAUAUCCUUCAGGCCUGACGGUACCCUCAAAGGAAGCACCGGCUAACUCCGUGCCAGCAGCCGCGGUAAUACGGAGGGUGCAAGCGUUGUUCGGAAUUAUUGGGCGUAAAGCGCGUGUAGGCGGUCUGUUAAGUCUGAUGUGAAAGCCCCGGGCUCAACCCGGGAAGUGCAUUGGAAACUGGCAGACUUGAGUACGGGAGAGGGUAGUGGAAUUCCGAGUGUAGGGGUGAAAUCCGUAGAUAUUCGGAGGAACACCGGUGGCGAAGGCGGCUACCUGGACCGAUACUGACGCUGAGACGCGAAAGCGUGGGGAGCAAACAGGAUUAGAUACCCUGGUAGUCCACGCCGUAAACGAUGGGUACUAGGUGUUGCGGGUAUUGAUCCCUGCAGUGCCGAAGCUAACGCAUUAAGUACCCCGCCUGGGGAGUACGGCCGCAAGGCUA
rnacentral:rRNA from 1 species